rnacentral:tRNA from 1 species
GCGGGUGUAGCUCAGAUGGUUAGAGCACCAGAUUGUGAUUCUGGGGGUCGCCGGUUCGAUUCCGGUCACUCGCCCCA